rnacentral:tRNA from 1 species
GAGGGUAUUGCUCAAAGUGAUAGAGCGCAUGUUUAGCAUGCAUGAGGUCCUGGGUUCAAUUCCCAGUACUUCCU